CGGGUGGCAGUAAAUCGACCAAUAGCGGACUCGUGGAUACUGGGUUUCCAUUCAAAAUGACGUAACCACAGACCAAACUGUUGUCGGGACAACCAGACCUCAACUGUACAGCUCGUUGGCACCCUCAGCAGAUUACACUACUAAUUAGGGAGUAAUUAGAAGAAGCAGUCAAUAGCUCACCUCAUCUUUGCACUGGAACAGAUAUUCACUUCCAUCUUCAAGUCUAAUAAAGCAGCAAAUGGAACAAGGAUAAAACAGUUGGUCAAGAUCUCACAUGAAGCAUUGGUGAGGGUCAGGGGUUCCUCGCCAUGGUAGGUGACACUGUGACUAAAGCUCUUGGCAUCCUUGUAGGCAGAGAGCUGUCCAGGCUUGAGCACACAGUAAAUGUUGUUCCAG